GAUGAAGAACGUAGCGAAACGCGAUACGUAAUGUGAAUUGCAGAAUUCAGUGAAUCAUCGAAUCUUUGAACGCAUAUUGCGCUCUCUGGUAUUCCGGAGAGCAUGCUUGUUUGAGUAUCAGUAAACACCUCAACUCCCCUUUCUUUUUUUGAAAUGGGAGCUGGACUUGAGUGAUCCCAACGCUUUUCUCACCGAAAAGUGGCGGGUUACUUGAAAUGCAGGUGCAGCUGGACUUUUCUCUGAGCUAAAAGCAUAUCUAUUUAGUCUGCCUAAAAAACAGAUUAUUACCUUUGCUGCAGCUAACAUAAAGGAGAUUAGUUCUUGUGCUGACUGAUGCAGGAUUCACAGAGACAGCUUCGGCUGGCCUUUGUAAACUCGAUCUCAAAUCAAGUAAGACUACCCGCUGAACUUAAGCAUAUCAAUAAGCGGAGGA
rnacentral:misc_RNA from 1 species